AGAGUUUGAUCCUGGCUCAGAGUGAACGCUGGCGGCAGGCCUAACACAUGCAAGUCGAGCGGCAGCGCGGGGGCAACUCUGGCGGCGAGCGGCGGACGGGUGAGGAAUGCAUCGGAAUCUGCCCUAUUGUGGGGGAUAACCUAGGGAAACUUAGGCUAAUACCGCAUACGCCCUGAGGGGGAAAGCGGGGGACCGAGAGGCCUCGCGCGGUAGGAUGAGCCGAUGCCGGAUUAGCUAGUUGGUGGGGUAAUGGCUCACCAAGGCGACGAUCCGUAGCUGGUCUGAGAGGAUGAUCAGCCACACUGGGACUGAGACACGGCCCAGACUCCUACGGGAGGCAGCAGUGGGGAAUAUUGGACAAUGGGCGCAAGCCUGAUCCAGCCAUGCCGCGUGUGUGAAGAAGGCCUUCGGGUUGUAA
rnacentral:rRNA from 1 species